GUUAACGGGAUGGGAUGGCCUGCGUGUAGGCACAGCUUCAGAUAAAUUGAAGCAAGCAGGGGAGGCCUGAGGGCAGGGCUGGGGUCCUCACCUUUUGUGGGGGCAAAUGGCAAAGUUUAGUGAGGUGAUGAGACAAGGGCUGGUGUCACACGGGGUGAACUAAGCCCCCUGUUAUUGGGGCUGGCUGGGGGCACUGGGAGCCUUGUCUGGUGUCUGGAUGUGGAGGAGGAGGUUCCUGGGUAAGCUGGGGAGCCCUGAGCAGAACACAGCCAGCAGCUCAAAGUUCGGAUCUACAUUUGAACUUUGUUGGAAGCAGGGAGGAAAACACAGAGAAAUUUGCAGAAAGCUUGUGCUGGUUGAAAGAUUUUCCUCAACUUCCUGCAGAAGUCUCCUGACUGAAUAGCGCUGAUGGGGAAAACAAGAAUCCACCUUUAUUCUGGAGCCCUCAAGAUGUUCCAUUUUGGAGCAGCCAAAGCGCAUUACGAAACAAAACAGACUGCAAUCACAGCCCGGGCAGGAAAGCUGGAAACAAACGGAUGCGAGCAUGAAAUGUGAUGUGCAACGAGAUGAGAUAAACUCCCCGUCUUGUUUUGGCCCAUUAUGGCAAAUUAUUCAUCAGAACACUUUGUUGGAAUCAGCUAGCUCCGGGUUUUGUUAAUUUUCUCUGUUUCAAAAUAUCAGACUUGGGGAGAGAAGGAGCCAGAAAUAGACGUGUAAGUAGCUCCAGCCAAAUGGUGCUCGAGUUCAGCCCGCUGCUCUGCUCGUCCUCGUGCUGUCCCCGUGGCAGUUCGGGAUCGGGGGUUGCAGCGCUCUGCUGCCCCAGCACUGAGCACGGCUGGGACAGGGGAGUGGGCAACCCCAGAGCUUCCUUGCAUGAUGGGACCUGCCCACCCCACACCCAGACACGGGGGCUGUGCUGGGCACACCGGCAGCACCCAGCAGAGCUCAGCAGCGUGCAACCGGCGCAGAGCAGUGAGAGCCGUGAUGGAAGGCGCUGUUGAUUUUUUAGUAUCAGUCGCUGGCUUGUUUUGUGUGACUAAGUUGGGUGCUCGCUCCUGUUCCUUAGCAACCCUAAUAGGCUAAUGCUUCUCAUUUCUCCGGGAAUUGCACAAGACAAAUUAAGGCCCGGUGCUUCUGUCAGCCCGUCCUGUGCGCUUCUGUCCAGGCAGGUGAGGCACAGCAGCCCCAGCUCUGAAGGGGCCUGGAGCAUUGCAAGGGGCAUCAGCAGCACCCCGUGUGUCUCCAGCACAUUGCCUGUUCCGAGUACCCCACCUCUCCAGCUCCAUCCCCUCCAGGGCAGGGCACUGAGCAGGCAGCACUGCGGCAGGGAUGGGCUUGGUGUCACGCACUGCGAACAGCCCUGAGAGGUUCACAGAGCCAUAGAAUCGUCCUGGUUGGAAAGCCCUCCCAGAUCCCCAGCCCACCAUGCCCAUCCCCACGUCCCUCAGUGCCACAUCCCCACGGUUCUGGAACAUCUCUGGGGAUGGAGAUCCCAGCGCUCCCUGGGCAGCCUGUGUUGGUGCGUCACUGCUCUUUGGGGGAAGAAAUGUUUCCCAGCUGGAAUGGGUGCCCUAGAGUUCAUUCCUUGUGUGUGUUGGGCUGCUUGCCUGGUGGGUCACCGUUUCAUGAUCCCCUGUGGAGGCAAUGCCCAAAGUUGGGCCAGAACUGCUCAGCUGGGGCUCAGCGUGCUGCUGCCAACAAGGUGCUGGAGCACUGGGCAGUGUGCUAGGCUGCAUCAGGCCUUUCUCUGUACCUUUAAAUUGCUGAAGCAGUGUGACUUCUCAGGGAAAAAACAAGUCUUUAAAGCCGUAAACAGCUGUUUUCCUUCUUUCUAUGUAAGAGCAAUUUUUAAAAACACUAAAAAAUUUAACAACCUUAUUUUUUUUCUGCAGUUUUUUAGUGGAGCAGGGCCAUUUCAGGGGUCUGUCAAGCAUACUCAGUAACAGCGUGACAUAUCCAGUAACUACAUCACCAAUAACCAUCUUGGCCUUCCUCUCUGCUUGGCUUUAUUACAGCCCCUAAACUAGCCCGGUCGGGAUUUCUGCUCCGUAUUUAAAUGAACUUGCAGGCAGUAAAGGAGCGUGUAUAAAGGAAGGGGUGAGCGUUAUGUCAGUUUUGUGUAUUGUAACCCUUUUACUUACAGUCCCUAUAUCUUCCAUGUUCUGGCAGGGGCAAGGGCACUAACUUAUUCACUCCCACUGCCUCCAUCCCCUAAGUGUGCAGUUAAUCCCGGAGCCGAGGCUGCAAUAUCAGCUUUCUGUUCUAACCAGGGCAGAAAAAAACCAGAGCAGGAUGGACCAGCUGCGCUUAGCGCCCCAUCAGCUAAAUUUCAAUGGAAUCAUUUUGAUGAAUUGUUUAGGAAGGGAAAAAAGCCCCAUUAACUGUACAUUUGCUGUUAAUUAAUAGUCUGCUUUCUUCCUUCUCUUUGACGCGGCGCUUCCGCGCAGUUGCACGCUCCUCGAGCCAUUCCCACUGCUCCUCGAGCAGCUCCGGUGCCAGGAAUGGGGCAUCUGUGUGGGCAUGAGCCUUGAAAAGGGAAAGGGACGCAGGGUCAGAGCUGGGAAGGAUGAAGGUGUGGAGGAGCAGCUGCACUCCUGACUCCAGCACAGUGCUGCUCCUGGUCCAGAUCCUAGUCUUGAUCCUGCUCUCCUGGCUGACUGCUCGGUGUCAGCAGGGCUGCCGAGGCAUUCCUCAGCUCCCUGCUUUUAUUAUUUUUAAUAACUUCUCCUUUCUUGUAUUUAUUUUCUGUGCACAUCUUGUAAAUACCUCAGGAAUGCUGCUCGGAGCAGGCUGGCUGCCGUCCCCAGGGAAGCAGGGCCCGGCAGCGCUGCCAAACCCCCGCCCAGGGGCUGCUGGGGGGCAGGUUGGGGUCAGUCCUUCCCCACUGGCACAACGAUGUGCCACCCCAGGGCCCAGGACGUGGUGCAGAUGGAGCCGCAGCAUCAGCCUGUGCCCGCUGUGCCCCAGGAGGAGCAGCCCUGGGAUGCACUCUCAGGCCGAGGGAAGGUGCCCGCUCUGAACAGAGACGCUCUGGGACAGCCCCCGGCAAAGGCAGCACGUACAAAACACACAGACCGUGCUGCAUGCGGGCACUCGGCCCUGACCAGCCCCAGCAGCGCUAUUUAGAACCCGACACACGAUUCUCUGUCUUUUGUGCAUUUGUAGAUCGGCUUUGGCUAAUUAAUCCAGAAACAGUCAUUCAAGUUCAGCUUGAAUUUAGGAACUGACAAAGGCUGUAAACGUGGGCUUCUCCAGCCUGCUUGCAUCACCUUAACUCUGCAAGGCUGGGGAAUGGAGUGAGACCUCCAGGAACAUGGAUUGCGAUUUAUCUGCUUGUCAGAGACCCCAUCAGUGCCCGCUCGCCUAUUGGUGCCUGCCUCCCCAGCAGUGUUU